rnacentral:lncRNA from 1 species
AUUGCCAUAACCUUGACUUAGACAGUUCUGCUCUCCUUUUAUAAACAAAGGACUAGAGGUCCAGAGAGGGUGACUGAGGGCACCUGAGGCGACCAGCCUGGAGGCCUGAGCUGACCUGUGAAGGCAGUGAGCGGCCUGUGGCUGUUUACAUACCUCUCGUGAAAGGCAUGACUGCCGUCUGCAGAGCGAGGCUGUGACAGGGGACCCACGGGUUGCAGGGCCUCCUCCGAGGGGCCACACUGGUGACGUGCGUGCUGCCUCCCGGGGA